GUAAGAAAACACUAGAGUUAUUUAUACUGAGACUCAGAGGACUACCAGGAAGUAAGAAAACACUAGAGUUAUUUAUACUGAGACUCAGAUAACUACCAGGAAGUAAGAAAACACUAGAGUUAUUUAUACUGAGACUCAGAGGACUACCAGGUAGUAAGAAAACACUAGAGUUAUUUAUACUGAGACUCAGAGGACUACCAGGUAGUAAGAAAACACUAGAGUUAUUUAUACUGAGACUCAGAGGACUACCAGGUAGUAAGAAAACACUAGAGUUAUUUAUACUGAGACUCAGAGGACUACCAGGAAGUAAGAAAACACUAGAGGGUUAGGGUUAGGGUUAGUUGUGUUGUGUGUUGUGUGACUGUGAUGGGGUUUUCUUUUGCUGUUGUUUCCCUUGUGAAAGAGAUCUUCUGACCUCAAUGAGAGAACCUGCAUCAAAACAUUUUUAAAAAGUUAACAUUAAAACAAACUGCAAGAUGAUAUAUUUUUCCCUUUGCACAAUGCUCUGCACUACAUAUGUGUCCAUAAGCCUGCAGCUGUGCUUGGUUGGGGCAUAUUCUCCUCUCCUCCGCUCCUGCCUGCAUGUGCUACUAUAGAUCUAGAAUGAAUAGAACGGGGUUCCCCAGUCAAGUCAGUGAUGGCAUAAUGGGUGGACUGGCAGCCAUUGCAGGUGAACCCAAGGGACCAACGCAGGACGUACGAGUAGGAAGUAAAAGCAGGAUUCAACUCAACGGGCAUUAGAAAAUAUUAGAAGGGCCGCCACACGUCCAGGCUGCUACACAGACUCUAUGGAGUCUCUGGUCUAGAGCUUCAACUGUGUUUCAGAGUAGUUUUAAACUCUAAAUGGUUAAAUGAGUGAGAAAUAGAUGUCAUUGUUGCAAUAGUUUGUGA